UAUGCUAUUAACAAUUUAUAUAUCCAAAUCUGAACAAAAUUUGUUUAAUUUAAUCAUAUGAAGGGCAACACUAUCUCCACUCCUUCAUUAGAUGGAACCAUGCUGCCUGGUAUCACAUGAAAAUCCAUCAUUGAAGUUGCCAUUGAUUUGGGUUAUCAGGAACUGCAGUGGUUGUUAACUCUGUUGCAUCGGUCAGCUAUAAGGAAACAACGAGGGAUUACAAAACAGGGCCAGAAACAUUGUCUGCAAAAUUACGCAAAACACUGGUUGGAAUUCAAACAGGGUGUCUUGAGGAUAAAAAGUCAUGGACAGUC